ACGCUCGACACCUACGGGAGGCAGCAGUGGGGAUAUUGCACAAUGGGGGAAACCCUGAUGCAGCGACGCCGCGUGAGGGAAGAAGGUUUUCGGAUUGUAAACCUCUGUCCUCAGUGACGAUAAUGACGGUAGCUGAGGAGGAAGCCACGGCUAACUACGUGCUAGCAGCCGCGGUAAUCUGAGCGGCUGGCAAGGC
rnacentral:rRNA from 1 species